rnacentral:rRNA from 1 species
UACGAAGGGGGCUAGCGUUGUUCGGAAUCACUGGGCGUAAAGCGCACGCAGGCGGAUCGUUAAGUCAGGGGUGAAAUCCCGAGGCUCAACCUCGGAACUGCCUUUGAUACUGGCGAUCUUUGAGUCCGGGAGAGGUGAGUGGAACUCCGAGUGUAGAGGUGAAAUUCGUAGAUAUCGAGAGGAACACCAGUGGCGAAGGCGAGUCUCUGGACAUUUCCUGACGCUGAGGCACGAAAGCCAGGGGAGCAAACGGG